rnacentral:rRNA from 1 species
AGUGAACGCUGGCGGCGUGCCUAACACAUGCAAGUCGAACGAUGAUGGAGAGCUUGCUCUCCUGAUUAGUGGCGCACGGGUGAGUAAUGCAUAGAUAAUGUGCCCCUUAGUUCGGGAUAGCCACUGGAAACGGUGAUUAAUACCGGAUACUCCUUCUCGUUAUAAGACGAGUCGGGAAAGUUUUUCGCUAAGGGAUCAGUCUAUGUUCCAUCAGUUUGUUGGUGAGGUAAUGGCUCACCAAGACUAUGACGGAUAUCUGGUUUGAGAGGAUGAUCAGACACACUGGAACUGAGACACGGUCCAGACUCCUACGGGAGGCAG